GACGAACGCUGGCGGCGGGCUUAACACAUGCAAGUCGAACGGAAAGGCCCUGCUUGUGUGGGGUGCUCGAGUGGCGAACGGGUGAGUAACACGUGAGUAACCUGCCCUUGACUUUGGGAUAACUUCAGGAAACUGGUGCUAAUACCGGAUAGGAGCUCCUGCUGCAUGGUGGGGGUUGGAAAGUUUCGGCGGUUGGGGAUGGACUCGCGGCUUAUCAGCUUGUUGGUGGGGUAGUGGCUUACCAAGGCUUUGACGGGUAGCCGGCCUGAGAGGGUGACCGGCCACAUUGGGACUGAGAUACGGCCCAGACUCCUACGGGAGGCAGCAGUGGGGAAUAUUGCACAAUGGGCGGAAGCCUGAUGCAGCAACGCCGCGUGCGGGAUGAAGGCCUUCGGGUUGUAAACCGCUUUAGCCUGUGACGAAGCGUGAGUGACGGUAAUGGGUAAAGAAGCACCGGCUAACUACGUG
rnacentral:rRNA from 1 species